rnacentral:lncRNA from 1 species
UGGGAUUUUCAAAGCACUUUUUGCUAUCAAAGCAUUGACACAAUUAUAGUUUUCAGUGGUUGGUAGUUUUGCAGUCAUAUCCUCUGUUUUGUUUCAGGAGGCUCAGAUGGAACUGGAAAGAAUGGAAAAGGCUAUAGGAGAGCCUACAGACGCCAACGGGGUAAAGCAUCACAAUGACCAUGGACAUGUAUUAAGUUGGGUGUGGUCAGUGGAGUAGAUGACAGAGUUUAGGGCCACUGGAACUUUCCGUCAAAGUGCUCUCUCUCACCACAGAGAUAUAUUAUUAUCAAAUCAGCAAACAGUGAAUGUAAUUAAAUAAGUGAUACUGUUGUAUCUGGUCAAUUUGGACCUAACCUGUACCCUCCCCCAGCAGAAAAAGUACCUUGAGCUUCUACUACAUGGAACACAGAUGCUGUUUCCAAGUGCUUUGAGAUUAGACAACACAACAGCUAGCCUCCUCAUCAACUGUGCUGGGGGUGUCAUACUCCUCAAAAUGAAAAGAUGUAGCGAGGACAGUGACACUAAAGUGGACAAGGAAAUGUUUGAUUUGACCUUUGAGAUUUAUAAGGCGGUAAGCUUAGUAAUGACCACAGAACUAAAUGAGGCCUUCAUCGUGAAGCACCCAACAGGCAGCAUCUACCAGAUCAGCCUCACCCAAUCACAAAUGCAUAACAAGGUUCUCGGGUCAGACGACGAUGCAUACAUCAAACUUCCAUCUUUCUCAGCAUUACAGUCCUCUCUGGAAAACCACUCAGUUGUUAAUGUGCAGAUGACCAUUUUUAUGGGCAACCCAUAUCCGUCGACUGAAAACAUCACAGGAACAGUGUGUUCUCUUGUACUAAGGGAUGGAUUGACGGAAAUCAGUGUAGAAAACUUGACAGAGCUAAUUGAGAUCGUUCUGCCACGCCCAGAUGCUCCUGUGCUCUCUGGUAUAACUGUAUCCUUGGAGGAAGGGGCUCAGGUUGGGACCUCUUUCAACACUACGGACCCCAACAUCACAGUCAUAUUCACCGUAGAGCCCAGUGUCAAUGUGUCCAUAGAACUGCUGCUGGGCCUGGGCUCCCCACCCAAUGACACCCACUAUAAACACCGCACCGUCCUGAGACACACAGGUAGAGGAGGACUCCAUCACCAUAGUUACCCUUUGCAUAACAUUACACCCAGUGUGCUACUGCUUUCAGUCAUUCUAGCUGUCUGGUAUGUACAUAGAUUCACAUAAUGCUUUGAUAUUCAUGGUGAUUCACAAGCUUUAAGACAUGUCUGUCUGACAUUUCACACUGUAAUUGGAGGUUGGGCUCUCAAAAGGUAUUGUUGGUUUUCUUUCUUAGCC